rnacentral:rRNA from 1 species
GAUCCUGGCUCAGGAUGAACGCUAGCGGCAGGCUUAACACAUGCAAGUCGAGGGGCAGCAUAAUGGAUAGCAAUAUCUAUGGUGGCGACCGGCGCACGGGUGCGUAACGCGUAUGCAACCUACCUUUAACGAGGGGGAUAACACUGAGAAAUUGGUACUAACUACCCCAUAAUAUCAUAGAAGGCAUCUUUUAUGGUUAGAAAAUUCCGAUGGUUAGAGAUGGGCAUGCGUUGUAUUAG